GGGAACAAAAACCGCGCCGGGGCAAUUUCGUCAUUUUUCAUGACUGUGUCGGAAUGGACUCAAAUUUGACAGGUUGAUCGGAAACAAAAACCGUGCCGAGUAAAAAUUCGUCAUUUUUCGCGACUGUGUCGGAAUGGACUCAAAUUUAACAGGUUGAUCGAGAACAAAAACCACGCCUGGGGCAAUUUCGUCAUUUUUAGCGACUGUGUCGGAAUUGGCUAAAAUUGGACAGGUUGAUCGGAAACAAAAAUCGC
rnacentral:lncRNA from 1 species